rnacentral:rRNA from 1 species
GACGAACGCUGGCGGCGUGCCUAAUACAUGCAAGUCGAGCGGAAGUUGGAGAGCUUGCUCUUCAACUUUAGCGGCGGACGGGUGAGUAACACGUGGGCAACCUGCCCUGCAGAUCGGGAUAACUCCGGGAAACCGGUGCUAAUACCGAAUAGUUUUCGCCACCUCCUGGUGGCGUACGGAAAGACGGUUUCGGCUGUCACUGCAGGAUGGGCCCGCGGCGCAUUAGCUAGUUGGUGGGGUAACGGCCCACCAAGGCGACGAUGAGUAGCCGACCUGAGAGGGUGAUCGGCCACACUGGGACUGGGACACGGCCCAGACUCCUACGGGAGGCAGCAGUAGGGAAUCUUCCGCAAUGGACGAAAGUCUGACGGAGCAACGCCGCGUGAGUGACGAAGGUUUUCGGAUCGUAAAACUCUGUUGUGAGGGAAGAACAAGUACCACUUAACUACUGGUACCUUGACGGUACCUCACCAGAAAGCCACGGCUAACUACGUGCCAGCAGCCGCCGCGG